rnacentral:rRNA from 1 species
UGGUGGAGUGAUUUGUCUGGUUAAUUCCGUUAACGAACGAGACCUUAGCCAGCUAAAUAGUGCCACGUAACCUCGGUUACGUGAGCUACUUCUUAGAGGGACUAUGCGUUUCUAACACAAGGAAGUUUGAGGCAAUAACA